UACGUAGGUGGCGAGCGUUGUCCGGAUUUAUUGGGCGUAAAGAGCCCGCAGGCGGCUUGAUAAGUUUCAAGUGAAAUCUCCCGGCUCAACUGGGAGGGUCUUGGAAAACUGUCAGGCUUGAGGCAGGGAGAGGGAUGCGGAAUUCCCGGUGUAGCGGUGAAAUGCGUAGAUAUGUGGAGGAACACCGAUGGCGAAGGCAGCCCCCUCGGUCGG
rnacentral:rRNA from 1 species